AUUGAACGCUGGCGGCAUGCCUAACACAUGCAAGUCGAACGAGACCUUCGGGUCUAGUGGCGCACGGGUGCGUAACACGUGGGAAUUUGCCUCGGGGUAUGGAAUAACUCAGGGAAACUUGAGCUAAUACCAUAUAAUGUCUUCGGACCAAAGAUUUAUCGCCCUGAGAUAAGCCCGCGUAGGAUUAGCUAGUUGGUGGGGUAAAGGCUCACCAAGGCGACGAUCCAUAGCUGGUCUGAGAGGAUGAUCAGCCACACUGGGACUGAGACACGGCCCAGACUCCUACGGGAGGCAGCAGUGAGGAAUAUUGGACAAUGGGCGCAAGCCUGAUCCAGCCAUGCCGCGUGCAGGAUGAAGGCCUCGGUUGUAAGACUCUUUACCCGGAUGAUAAUGACAGUACCGGGAGGAAUAAGCUACCGGCUAACUCCGUGCCAGCAGCCGCGGU
rnacentral:rRNA from 1 species